CAGUCGCCACGGUAAUACGUAGGUGGCAAGCGUUGUCCGGAAUUAUUGGGCGUAAAGGGCUCGCAGGCGGUUUCUUAAGCCUGAUGUGAAAGCCCCCGGCUCAACCGGGGAGGGUCAUUGGAAACUGGGAAACUUGAGUGCAGAAGAGGAGAGUGGAAUUCCACGUGUAGCGGUGAAAUGCGUAGAGAUGUGGAGGAACACCAGUGGCGAAGGCGACUCUCUGGUCUGUAACUGACGCUGAGGAGCGAAAGCGUGGGGAGCGAACAGGAUUAGAUACCCCAGUAGUCCCUGUCUCUUAUAC
rnacentral:rRNA from 1 species